rnacentral:tRNA from 1 species
GGGGAUGUAACAUAGUGGUAGAGUGUUUGUUUAGCAUGUGUGAGGCCCUGAGUUCAAUCCCCAGCAUUGCCA